AUGCAGAAACUGGAGUGAUGCAGCGAUUGUCAAGGAAUGGCAAGGAUUGUUGGUGGCACCAUGAAUUAGGCAAGAAAGGUUUCUUCCCUACAGCCUUCAGUGGAAGCAUGGUGGCCGUGCUGACACCUUGAUUUCAGAUUACUAGUAUCCAGUACUCUGAAAGAAAACUUUUUGUUGUUUUAAGCUAUCCAGGUUAUAGUAAUUUGUAAUGGCUGCUCUAGGAAACUAAUAAGUCAAUUUAAUCCUGGAGUGAAAUAUUAGGGAACUGACAUAGUUCUAUGCCAAGUUCCCCAAAUAGCUAUACAGUAAGUCUCCUACAUAUGAACCUUCAAGUUGUGAACUUUCAAAUAUGUGAACAUGCCCCUGUAUGCCAGCUGUUGUACUAUACUACUGUACUUUUCAAGCUUAAUAUCUUUCAGAUUCUAAAAAGAUGCAGUGAUGAACAUACGUGACUAUCCAUGAAGUGGUGGGAAGAGGUUGGAUUCUGGAUAUAUUUUGAAGGAUAGAUAACAUAUUAAAAAGACAUGAAGUGAAGAAGAACUACAAUCCUGAAGCCUGUGGAACAAAAACCACAUUCACAGAAAGAUAGACAAGAUGAAAAGGUAGAGGGCUAUGAACCAGAUGAAGGAACAAGAUAAAAACUCAGAAAAACAACUGAAUGAAGUGGAGAUAGAAAACCUUCAAGAAAAAGAAUUCAGAAUAAUGAUAGUGAAGAUGAUCCAGAAUCUCAGAAAAAGAAUGGAGGCAAAGAUCGAGAAGAUGCAAGAAAUGUUUAACAAAGACCUGGAAGGAUUAAACAACAAACAAACAGAGAUGAACAAUACAAUAACUGAAAUGGAAACUACACUAGAAGGAAUCAAUAGCAGAAUAACUGAAGCAGAAGAACGGAAAAGUGACUUGGAGGACAGAACGGUGGAAUUCACUGCCUCGGAACAGAAUAAAGAAAAAAGAAUGAAACGAAAUGAAGACAGCCUAAGAGACCUCUGGGACAACAUUAAAUGCAACAACAAUCUCAUUAUAGCCGUCCCAGAAGGAGAAAAGAGAAAGGAAGGACCCGAGAAAAUAUUUGAAGAGAUUAUAGAUGAAAACUUCCUUAACAUGGGAAAGGAAAGAGCCACCAAAGUCCAGGAAGUGCAGAGAGUCCCAUGCAGGAUAAACCCAAUGAGAAACAUGCCAAGACACAUAAUAAUCAAAUUGACAAAAAUUAAAGACAAAGAAAAAUUAUUGAAAGCAACAAGGGAAAAAUGACAAAUAAUCUACAAGGGAACUCCCAUAAGGUUAAUAGCUGAUUUCUCAGCAGAACCUCUACAAGCCAUAAAGGAGUGGUAUGAUAUACUUAAAGUGAUGAAAGGAAAGAGCCUACAACCAAUAUUACUCUACCCGGAAAGGAUCUCAUUUAGAUUUGAUGGAGAAAUCAAAAGCUUUACAGACAAGCAAAAGCUAAGAGAAUUCAGCACCACAAAACCAGCUCUACAACAAAUGCUACAGGAACUUCUCUAGGUAGGAAACACAAGAGAAGAAAAUGACCUACAAAAACAAACCCAAAACAAUUAAGAAAAUGUUAAUAGGAACAUACAUAUUAAUAAUUACCUUAAACGUGAAUGGAUUAAAUGCUCCAACCAAAAGACAAAGGCUUGCUGAAUGGAUACAAAAACAAGUCCCAUAUAUAUGUUGUCUACAAGAGACCCACUGAAGACCUAGGGACAUAUAGAGACUGAAAGUGAGGGGAUGGAAAAAGAUAUUCCAUGCAAAUGGAAAUCAAAAGAAAGCUGUAGUAGCAAUACUCAUAUCAGAUAAAAUAGACUUUAAAAUAAAGAAUGCUACAAGAGACAAGCAAGGACACUACAUAACGACCAAGGGAUCAAUCCAAGAAGAAGAUAUAACAAUUAUAAAUAUAUAUGCACCCAAAAUAGGAGCACCUCAGUACAUAAGACAACUGCUAACAGCUCUAAAAGAGGAAUUAAACAGUAACACAAUAAGAGUGGGGGACUUUAACACCUCACUUACACCAAUGGACAGAUAAUCCAAAAUGAAAAUAAAUAAGGAAAGAGAAGUUUUAAAUGACACAAUAGACCACACAGAUUUAAUUGUUAUUUAUAGGACAUUCCAUCAAAAAACAGCAGAUUACAUUUCCUUCUCAAGUGCACAUGGAACAUUCUCCAGGAUAGAUCACAUAUUGGGUCACAAAUCAAGCCUCAGUAAAUUUAAGAAAAUUGAAAUCAUAUCAAACAUCUUUUCCGACUACAACUAUAUGAGAUUAGAAAUGAAUUACACAGAAGAAAAUGUAAAAAAACACAAACACAUGGAGGCUGAAUAAUACGUUACUAAAUAACCAAGAGGUCACUGAAGAAAUUAAAGAGGAAAUCAAAAAAUACCUAGAGGCAAAUGACAAUGAAAACAUGAUGAUCCAAAGCCUAUGAGAUGCAGCAAAAACAGUUCUAAGAGUGAAGUUUAUAGCUAUGCAAGCCUACCUCAAGAAAAAAGAAAAAUCUCAAAUACACAAUCUAAACUUACACCUAAAGCAACUAGAGCAAGAAGAACAAACAAAAACCAAAGUUAGCAGAAGGAAAGAAAUCAUAAAGAUCAGAGCAGAAAUAAAUGAAAUAGAAACAAAGAAAACAACAGCAAAGAUCAAUAAAAAUAAAACUUGUUCUUUGAGAAGAUAAACAAAAUUGAUAAACCAUUAGCCAGACUCAUCAAGAAAAAGAGGGAGAGAACUCAAAUCAAUAAAAUUCAAAAUGAAAAAGAAGUUACAACAGACACAGCAGAAAAACAAAGCAUCUUAAGAGACUACUACAAGCAACUCUAUGCCAGUAAAAGGGACAACCUGGAAGAAAUGGACAAAUUCUUAGAAAGGUAUAACCUUCCAAGACUGAACCAGGAAGAAAUAGAACAUAUGAACAGACCAAUCAUAAGUAAUGAAAUUGAAACUGUGAUAAAAAAUCUUCCAGCAAACAAAAGUUCAGGACCAGAUGGCUUCACAGGUGAAUUCUACCAAACAUCUAGAGAAGAGCUAACACCAAUCCUUCUCAAACUCUUCCAAAAAAUUGCAGAGGAAGGAACACUCCCAAACUCAUUCUAUGAGGCCAUCAUCACCCUGAUACCAAACCCAGACAAAGAUACUACAAAAAAAGAAAAUUACAGACCAAUAUCACUGAUGAAUAUAGAUGCAAAAAUCCUCAACAAAAUACUAGCAAACAGAAUCCAACAACACAUUAAAAGGAUAUUACACCAUGAUCAAGUGGGAUUUAUCCCAGGGAUGCAAGGACACUUCAAUAUAUGCAAAUCAAUCAAUGUGAAACACCAUAUUAACAAAUUUAAGAAAAAAAAAAUAUGAUCAUCUCAAUAGAUGCAGAAAAAGCUUUUAACAAAAUUCAACAAGCAUUUAUGAUAAAAACUCUCCAGAAAGUGGGCAUAGAGGGAACCUACCUCAACAUAAUAAAGGCCUUAUAUGACAAACCCACAGCAAACAUCAUUCUUAAUGGUGAAAAACUGAAAGCAUUUCCUCUAAGAUCAGGAACAAGGCAAGGAUGUCCAUUCUCACCACUAUUAUUCAACAUAGUUUUGGAAGUCCUAGCUACAGCAAUCAGAGAAGAAAAAAUAAAUAAAAGGAAUACAAAUAGGAAAAGAAGAAUUAAAACUGUCACUGUUUGAAGAUGACAUGAUAGAAUAUAUCCUAUAGAUGCUACCAGAAAGAGCUAAUCAAUGAAUUUGGUAAAGUUGCAGGAUACCAAAUUAAUACAGAGAAAUCUCUUGAAUUCCUAUACACUAAUGAUGAGAAACCUGAAAGAGAAAUUAAGGAAACACUCCCAAUUACCAUUGUAACAAAAAGAAUAAAAUGCCUAGGAAUAAACCUACCUAGGGAGACAAAAGACCUGUAUGCAGACUAUAAAACACUGAUGAGAGAAAUUAAAGAUGAUACCAACAGAUGGAGAGAUAUACCAUGUUCUUGGUUUAGAAGAAUCAAUAUUGUGAAAAUGACUAUACUACCCAAAACAAUCUACAGAUUCAAUGCAAUCCCUAUCAAAUUACCAAUGACAUUUUUUACAGGACUAGAGCAAAAAAUCUUAAAAUUUGUAUGCAAACAUAAAAGACCCCGAAUAGCCAAAGCAGUCUUGAGGGCAAAAAGCAGAGCUGGAGGAAUCAGACUCCCUGAUUUCAGACUAUACUACAAAGCUCCAGGAAUCAAGACAAUAUUGUACUGGCACAAAAAUAGAAAUAUAGAUCAAUGGAACAAGAUAGAAAGCCCAGAGAUAAACCCAUGCACCUCUGCUCAACUAAACUGUGACAAAGGAGAUAAGGAUAUGCAAUGGGGAAAAGACAGUUCUUCAGUAAGUUGUGCUGGGAAAACUGGACAACUACAUGUAAAAGAAUGAAAUUAGAACACUCCCUAACACCAUACACAAAAAUAAAGUUAAAAUGGAUUAGAGACCUAAAUGUAAGACUGGACACUAUAAAACUCUUAGAGGAAAACAUAGGAAGAACACUCUUUGACAUAAAUCACAGAAAGAUCUUUUUGAUCCACCUCUUAGAGUAAUGGAAAUAAAAACAAAAAUGAACAAAUGGGACCUAAUGAAACUUAAAAGCUUUAUCACAUCAAAGGAAACCAUAAACAAGACGAAAAGACAACCUUCAGAAUGGGAGAAAAUAUUUGCAAAUGAAUCAACGGACAAAGGACUAAUCUCCAAAAUAUAUAAACAGCUCAUGCAGCUCAAUAUUAAAAAAAAAAAAAAAAACAACCAAUCCAAAAAUGGGCAGAAGACCUAACUAGACAUUUCUCCAAAGAAGACAUACAAAUGGACAAGAAGCACAUGAAAAGCUGCUCAACAUCACUAAUUAUUAGAGAAAUGCAAAUCAAAACUACAAUGAGUUACCACCUCACAACAGUUAGAAUGGGCAUCAUCAGAAAAUCUACAAACAACAAAUGCUGGAAAGGCUGUGGAGAAAAGGAAACCCUAUUGCACUGUUGGUGGGAAUGUAAAUUGAUACAGCCACUAUGCAGAACAGUAUGGAGGUCCCUUAAAAAACUAAAAAUAAAAUUACCAUAUGAUCCAGCAAUCCCACUACUGGGCAUAUACCCAGAGAAAAUCAUAAUUCAAAAAGACACAUGCACCCCAAUGAUCAUUGCAGCACUAUGUACAAUAACCAGGUAAUGGAAGUAACCUAAAUGCCCAUCGACAGACAAAUGGAUAAAGAAAAUGUGGUACAUAUAUACAAUGGAAUAUUACUCAGCCAUAAAAAGUAAUGAAAUUGGGUCAUUUGUUGAGAUGUGGAUGUAUCUAGAUACUGUCAUACAGAGUAAAGUACGUCAGAAAAAGUAAAACAAAUAUCGUAUAUUAACACAUAUAUGUGGAACCUAGAAAAAUUGUACAGAUGAACCAGUUUUCAAGGCAGAAAUUGAGACACAGAUGUAGAGAACAAACGUAUGGACACCAAGGGGGCAAAGCAGCAGGUGGGGGGUGGUGGUGGUGAGAUGAAUUGGGCGAUUGGGAUUGACAUGUAUACACUGAUGUGUAUAAAAUUGAUGACUAAUAAGAACCUGCUGUAUAAAAAAAUUAAAUAAUAUAAAAUUUAAAAAAAUAGUGUUCUUUGAUGAAGAACUCUUAAAUUUUAAUGUAGUCUAAUUUGUCUAUUUUCACUUCUUUUUGCUUCUGGUAUAAAACUCUUAUUUUUUAAAAUUGCUGGAUUUAUUUUGUUAAUAUUCUGUUAAGGAAUACUCUGCAUCUGUA